UGGCGGCAGGCCUAACACAUGCAAGUCGAGCGGUAGCACAGAGAGCUUGCUCUCGGGUGACGAGCGGCGGACGGGUGAGUAAUGUCUGGGAAACUGCCUGAUGGAGGGGGAUAACUACUGGAAACGGUAGCUAAUACCGCAUAACGUCGCAAGACCAAAGUGGGGGACCUUCGGGCCUCAUGCCAUCAGAUGUGCCCAGAUGGGAUUAGCUAGUAGGUGGGGUAACGGCUCACCUAGGCGACGAUCCCUAGCUGGUCUGAGAGGAUGACCAGCCACACUGGAACUGAGACACGGUCCAGACUCCUACGGGAGGCAGCAGUGGGGAAUAUUGCACAAUGGGCGCAAGCCUGAUGCAGCCAUGCCGCGUGUGUGAAGAAGGCCUUCGGGUUGUAAAGCACUUUCAGCGGGGAGGAAGGCGUUAAGGUUAAUAACCUUGGCGAUUGACGUUCCCCGCACAAGAAGCACCGGCUAACUCCGUCGCCAGCAGCCGCGGUAAUACGGAGGGUGCAAGCGUUAAUCGGAAUUACUGGGCGUAAAGCGCACGCAGGCGGCCUGUCAAGUCGGAUGUGAAAUCCCCGGGCUCAACCUGAGAACCGCAUUCGAAACUGGCAGGCUAGAGUCUUGUAGAGGGGGGGUAGAAUUCCAGGUGUAGCGGUGAAAAUGCGUAGAGAUCUGGAGGAAUACCGGUGGCGAAGGCGGCCCCCUGGACAAAGACUGACGCUCAGGUGCGAAAGCGUGGGGAGCAAACAGGAUUAGAUACCCUGGUAGUCCACGCCGUAAACGAUGUCGAUUUGGAGGUUGUGCCCUUGAGGCGUGGCUUCCGGAGCUAACGCGUUAAAUCGACCGCCUGGGGAGUACGGCCGCAAGGUUAAAACUCAAAUGAAUUGACGGGGGCCCGCACAAGCGGUGGAGCAUGUGGUUUAAUUCGAUGCAACGCGAAGAACCUUACCUGGUCUUGACAUCCACAGAACUUUCCAGAGAUGGAUUGGUGCCUUCGGGAACUGUGAGACAGGUGCUGCAUGGCUGCCGUCAGCUCGUGUUGUGAAAUGUUGGGUUAAGUCCCGCAACGAGCGCAACCCUUAUCCUUUGUUGCCAGCGGUCCGGCCGGGAACUCAAAGGAGACUGCCAGUGAUAAACUGGAGGAAGGUGGGGAUGACGUCAAGUCAUCAUGGCCCUUACGACCAGGGCUACACACGUGCUACAAUGGCAUAUACAAAGAGAAGCGACCUCGCGAGAGCAAGCGGACCUCAUAAAGUAUGUCGUAGUCCGGAUUGGAGUCUGCAACUCGACUCCAUGAAGUCGGAAUCGCUAGUAAUCGUAGAUCAGAAUGCUACGGUGAAUACGUUCCCGGGCCUUGUACACACCGCCCGUCACACCAUGGGAGUGGGUUGCAAAAGAAGUAGGUAGCUUAACCUUCGGGAGGGCGCUUACCACUUUGUGAUU
rnacentral:rRNA from 1 species